UUAGGAAUAUUCGUCAAUGGGGGAAACCCUGAACGAGCAAUGCCGCGUGAGUGAUGACGGUCCUCUGGAUUGUAAAACUCUGUUGUUUGGAAAGAACUGUAAGAAGAGGAAAUGCUUCUUACUUGACGGUACCAUUCAAGAAAGCCACGGCUAACUACGUGCCAGCAGCCGCGGUAAUACGUAGGUGGCGAGCGUUAUCCGGAUUUAUUGGGCGUAAAGCGUCCGCAGCCGGUUUAUUAAGUCUAGAAUAAAAGCCUGGAGCUUAACUCCAGUUCGUUCUAGAAACUGAUAUACUUGAGUGUAGUAGAGGCAAAUGGAAUUUCUAGUGUAGCGGUAAAAUGCGUAGAUAUUAGAAGGAACACCAGUGGCGAAGGCGAUUUGCUAGGCUAUUACUGACGGUCAGGGACGAAAGCGUGGGGAGCAAAUAGG
rnacentral:rRNA from 1 species